AUUGAACGCUGGCGGCAUGCCUUACACAUGCAAGUCGAACGGUAACAGGUCUUCGGAUGCUGACGAGUGGCGAACGGGUGAGUAAUACAUCGGAACGUGCCUAGUAGUGGGGGAUAACUACUCGAAAGAGUGGCUAAUACCGCAUGAGAUCUACGGAUGAAAGCAGGGGAUCGCAAGACCUUGUGCUACUAGAGCGGCCGAUGGCAGAUUAGGUAGUUGGUGGGAUAAAAGCUUACCAAGCCGCCGAUCUGUAGCUGGUAGGAGAGGACGAGCCGCCCAACGGGGGCUGAGACACGGCCCGGAUGCCGACGGGGGGCAGCAGUGUGGAAUUUUGGACAAUGGGCGCAAGCCUGACCCAGCAAUGCCGCGUGCAGGAUGAAGGCCUUCGGGUUGUAAACUGCUUUUGUACGGAACGAAAAGCCCUGGGUUAAUACCCUGGGGUCAUGACGGUACCGUAAGAAUAAGCACCGGCUAACUACGUGCCAGCCGCCGCCGUAAUAC
rnacentral:rRNA from 1 species